rnacentral:rRNA from 1 species
GGCGACCGGCAAACGGGUGCGGAACACGUACACAACCUUCCGGUGAGCGGGGGAUAGCCCAGAGAAAUUUGGAUUAAUACCCCAUACUAUAAUGAUCAGGCAUCUGGUUAUUAUCAAAGGCUUCGGCCGCUUAUUGAUGGGUGUGCGUCUGAUUAGGUAGUUGGCGGGGUAGAGGCCCACCAAGCCUACGAUCAGUAGCUGAUGUGAGAGCAUGAUCAGCCACACGGGCACUGAGACACGGGCCC